AGUCGAGGGGCAGCAUGGUCUUAGCUUGCUAAGGCUGAUGGCGACCGGCGCACGGGUGAGUAACACGUAUCCAACCUGCCGUCUACUCUUGGCCAGCCUUCUGAAAGGAAGAUUAAUCCAGGAUGGGAUCAUGAGUUCACAUGUCCGCAUGAUUAAAGGUAUUUUCCGGUAGACGAUGGGGAUGCGUUCCAUUAGGUAGUAGGCGGGGUAACGGCCCACCUAGUCAACGAUGGAUAGGGGUUCUGAGAGGAAGGUCCCCCACAUUGGAACUGAGACACGGUCCAAACUCCUACGGGAGGCAGCAGUGAGGAAUAUUGGUCAAUGGGCGAUGGCCUGAACCAGCCAAGUAGCGUGAAGGAUGACUGCCCUAUGGGUUGUAAACUUCUUUUAUAAAGGAAUAAAGUCGGGUAUGCAUACCCGUUUGCAUGUACUUUAUGAAUAAGGAUCGGCUAACUCCGUGCCAGCAGCCGCGGUAAUACGGAGGAUCCGAGCGUUAUCCGGAUUUAUUGGGUUUAAAGGGAGCGUAGAUGGAUGUUUAAGUCAGUUGUGAAAGUUUGCGGCUCAACCGUAAAAUUGCAGUUGAUACUGGAUGUCUUGAGUGCAGUUGAGGCAGGCGGAAUUCGUGGUGUAGCGGUGAA
rnacentral:rRNA from 1 species